rnacentral:rRNA from 1 species
UGCGUAGGUGGCAGUGCAAGUCAGAUGUGAAAGGCCGGGGCUCAACCCCGGAGCUGCAUUUGAAACUGCAUAGCUGGAGUACAGGAGAGGCAGGCGGAAUUCCUAGUGUAGCGGUGAAAUGCGUAGAUAUUAGGAGGAACACCAGUGGCGAAGGCGGCCUGCUGGACUGUUACUGACAUGAGGCACGAAAGCGUGGGGAGCAAACA